rfam:Ixodes scapularis strain Wikel colony gcontig_1108379445694, whole genome shotgun sequence.
CAAAAGGCCCUUUUAAGGGCCAAACAAAUCUGGCUUUGGAGCGUAAG